AUUAAAUAAUGCUGAUCAAAUUUGCUUUGAAAGCAUGCUCCUGAUCUGAAGUGCUCAUGUAGACAAAUACUGAAAGA